rnacentral:rRNA from 1 species
UACGGAGGGUGCAAGCGUUGUUCGGAAUCACUGGGCGUAAAGCGCGUGCAGGCGGCCUGUUAAGUCAGAUGUGAAAUCCCUUGGCUCAACCAAGGAACUGCAUCUGAAACUAAUAGGCUUGAGUACGGGAGAGGAGAGUGGAAUUCCCGGUGUAGAGGUGAAAUUCGUAGAUAUCGGGAAGAACACCGGUGGCGAAGGCGGCUCUCUGGACCGAUACUGACGCUGAGACGCGAAAGCGUGGGGAGCAAACAGGAUUAGAUACCCCCGUA